UGCAUAUCAAUAAGCGGAGGAAAAGAAACCAACAGGGAUUGCCUCAGUAACGGCGAGUGAAGCGGCAAAAGCUCAGAUUUGAAAUCUGGCGUCAUAUUGGCGUCCGAGUUGUAAUCUGUAGAGGAGUAUUCGAGUGUGGCGCUGGCUUAAGUUCCUUGGAACAGGACGUCAUAGAGGGUGAGAACCCCGUUAACGGCCUUUGUCUUAUGCUCAUGUGAAUCUCCUUCAACGAGUCGAGUUGUUUGGGAAUGCAGCUCUAAAUGGGUGGUAAAUUCCAUCUAAAGCUAAAUACUGGCAAGAGACCGAUAGCGCACAAGUAGAGUGAUCGAAAGAUGAAAAGAACUCUGAACAGAGAGUUAAAUAGUACGUGAAAUUGUUGAAAGGGAAGCACUUGCUACCAGACACGCCUGUAGUUGAUCAACCUUCAUUCUUGAUGGUGCACUCAGCUAUAGGUGGGUCAGCAUCAGUUAUGGCGGUGGGAUAAAGACUUGGGGAAUGUGGCUUCUCUCGGGAAGUGUUAUAGCCCUUUGUGUAAUACCACCUGCUGUGACUGAGGACCGCGCUUCGGCGAGGAUGCUGGCAUAAUGGUCGUAAGUGACCCGUCUUGAAACACGGACCA
rnacentral:rRNA from 1 species